rnacentral:snRNA from 1 species
GCGGUCACUUCUGCAUCAUCUGUACUAAAAUUGAAACAACACAGAGAUGAUGAGCAUGGCCCUGUGAAAGGAUGACAUGCAAAUUUGUGAAGUGUUCCAGUUUUGA